UCAAUAAAGAUAAACAAAAAUAAAAAAAUUUCAAUAAUGAUUUGAUUUCUAAUUUUUGCAACAGCAAGAAUAUUUUAACAAAAAUUUUAGAAACUGAAAAAACAGCAGUAGCACAAAAUCAAUGAGCAGAAGCACAAAAUCAGUAAAACACUAUCAGAGCCAUCAAGCAAUUAUAAACAGCCAUAGCACAAUGAAAAAUAAAAAAAUAUGAACCAGUAAAAACAGCCUAAGCCACAGAAAUUAAAAACAGCCACAACCACAGACAUGAGCAAAUAUGAACAAAAAAAUUAGGAGCCAUCAGCAACUGAUCCAUCAACAACAGGAAAUUACAAUUUACAAAACAUUCAGAACCAAAAUUCAAACCAAGAUCGAAGAAGAAGAAUUGAAGAAAAAUGGAACAAAAAUUGAAGAAGAAUACCGAAGAAGAAGACCGAAGAACAACAAUUUCGGAACUUCAAACCAA